GACGAAGGUGGCGAGCGUUAUUCGGAAUCACUGGGCAUAAAGCGCACGUAGGCGGCGGCGUAAGUUGGAUGUGAAAUCCCCCGGCCCAACCGGGGAACUGCGUCCAGUACUGCGUUGCUUGAGGAUCCAAGGGGUGCAUGGAAUUCCCGGUGGAGCGGUGAAAUGCGUUGAUAUCGGGAGGAACUCCGGCGGCGAAAGCGGUGCACUGGUGGAUUACUGACGCUGAGGUGCGAAAGCCAGGGGAGCAAACGGGG
rnacentral:rRNA from 1 species